rnacentral:rRNA from 1 species
UACGGGGGGGGCAAGCGUUGUUCGGAAUUACUGGGCGUAAAGGGCUCGUAGGCGGCCAACUAAGUCAGACGUGAAAUCCCUCGGCUUAGCCGGGGAACUGCGUCUGAUACUGGAUGGCUUGAGGUUGGGAGAGGGAUGCGGAAUUCCAGGUGUAGCGGUGAAAUGCGUAGAUAUCUGGAGGAACACCGGUGGCGAAGGCGGCAUCCUGGACCAAUUCUGACGCUGAGGAGCGAAAGCCAGGGGAGCAAACGGG